rnacentral:rRNA from 1 species
UACGGGGGGGGCAAGCGUUGUUCGGAAUUACUGGGCGUAAAGGGCUCGUAGGCGGCCAACUAAGUCGGACGUGAAAUCCCUCAGCUUAACUGAGGAACUGCGUCUGAUACUGGAUGGCUUGGAUUCGGGAGAGGGAUGCGGAAUUCCAGGUGUAGCGGUGAAAUGCGUAGAUAUCUGGAGGAACACCGGUGGCGAAGGCGGCAUCCUGGACCGAUAUUGACGCUGAGGAGCGAAAGCUAGGGGAGCAAACGGG